GGGGCCGUGGUCUAGCUUGGUAGGAUGCCGGCCUUGGGAGCCGGUGGUCGUGGGUUCGAAUCCCACCGGCCCCACCA
rnacentral:tRNA from 1 species